UGCAAGUCGAGCGAUGAAGCCCUUCGGGGUGGAUUAGCGGCGGACGGGUGAGUAACACGUGGGUAACCUGCCUCAAAGAGGGGGAUAGCCUCCCGAAAGGGAGAUUAAUACCGCAUAACAUUAGUUUUUCGCAUGAAGAACUAAUUAAAGGAGUAAUCCGCUUUGAGAUGGACCCGCGGCGCAUUAGCUAGUUGGUGAGGUAAAGGCUCACCAAGGCGACGAUGCGUAGCCGACCUGAGAGGGUGAUCGGCCACAUUGGAACUGAGACACGGUCCAGACUCCUACGGGAGGCAGCAGUGGGGAAUAUUGCACAAUGGGCGAAAGCCUGAUGCAGCAACGCCGCGUGAGUGAUGAAGGCCUUCGGGUUGUAAAGCUCUGUCUUUUGGGACGAUAAUGACGGUACCAAAGGAGGAAGCCACGGCUAACUACGUGCCAGCAGCCGCGGUAAUACGUAGGUGGCGAGCGUUGUCCGGAUUUACUGGGCGUAAAGGAUGCGUAGGCGGAUAUUUAAGUGAGAUGUGAAAUACCCGAGCUUAACUUGGGUGCUGCAUUUCAAACUGGAUAUCUAGAGUGUGGGAGAGGAGAAUGGAAUUCCUAGUGUAGCGGUGAAAUGCGUAGAGAUUAGGAAGAACACCAGUGGCGAAGGCGAUUCUCUGGACCAUAACUGACGCUGAGGCAUGAAAGCGUG
rnacentral:rRNA from 1 species